GACGAACGCUGGCGGCGUGCCUAACACAUGCAAGUCGAACGAAACUUCUUUAAAGGAUUUCUUCGGAAUGAAUUUGAUUAAGUUUAGUGGCGGACGGGUGAGUAACGCGUGAGUAACCUGCCUCUAAGAGGGGAAUAACAUUCUGAAAAGAAUGCUAAUACCGCAUAACAUAUAUUUAUCGCAUGGUAGAUAUAUCAAAGAUUUAUCGCUUAGAGAUGGACUCGCGUCCGAUUAGUUAGUUGGUGAGGUAACGGCUCACCAAGACCGCGAUCGGUAGCCGGACUGAGAGGUUGAACGGCCACAUUGGGACUGAGACACGGCCCAGACUCCUACGGGAGGCAGCAGUGGGGGAUAUUGCGCAAUGGGGGAAACCCUGACGCAGCAACGCCGCGUGAAGGAUGAAGGUCUUCGGAUUGUAAGCUUCUUUUAUUAAGGACGAAGAAAGUGACGGUACUUAAUGAAUAAGCUCCGGC
rnacentral:rRNA from 1 species